UACGUAGGGGGCAAGCGUUGUCCGGAAUCAUUGGGCGUAAAGGGCGCGUAGGCGGCGUUUUAAGUCGGGGGUGAAAGCCUGUGGCUCAACCACAGAAUGGCCUUCGAUACUGGGACGCUUGAGUAUGGUAGAGGUUGGUGGAACUGCGAGUGUAGAGGUGAAAUUCGUAGAUAUUCGCAAGAACACCGGUGGCGAAGGCGGCCAACUGGACCAUUACUGACGCUGAGGCGCGAAAGCGUGGGGAGCAAACAGG
rnacentral:rRNA from 1 species